AAGAUGCUAGUAUAAUAGAAAAUACACUGCCUUGUCAAGGCAGAAUUGUGGGUUAAACCCCCGCGCAUCUUA
rnacentral:tRNA from 1 species